UACGUAGGGCGCAAGCGUUGUCCGGAAUUAUUGGGCGUAAAGAGCUCGUAGGCGGCUUGUCACGUCGGGUGUGAAAGCCCGGGGCUUAACCCCGGGUCUGCAUUCGAUAUGGGCUGGCUAGAGUGUGGUAGGGGAGAUCGGAAUUCCUGGUGUAGCGGUGAAAUGCGCAGAUAUCAGGAGGAACACCGGUGGCGAAGGCGGAUCUCUGGGCCAUUACUGACGCUGAGGAGCGAAAGCGUGGGGAGCGAACAGG
rnacentral:rRNA from 1 species